UGCAAAUGCAAGAAAUGGUUUUCUUCUCAUAUACCAUUUUUUUUUUGGUUCGUCAUAGACAUGUUCCAAGACAUUACGGGUUACAGCCACCAAACCCAAGUUCUAUACGCGUUUAAGCUGUGAAAAAAUAGGUAUGCCGCGAACACGGCACACAAUCUAUCAUAAGUUGUACAAUAUGCAUCAAAUAAAAUUGCACCUUUCUUGACAUAAUGCCUACGAUAGCUUCUCAUUUGCUAAUUUAUCUCAAACACAUAUAUGGGUGAGGGAGACCUCAUUCCAAUUUUAACUGAGAGAGGAGAUCGAAGUAUGUGGAUGACAGGAUAAAACCAACUAGAAUGAAAUCUCACAAGGUGCAUGAAAUGUUCUUCCACGGCAUAUAGCUUCUAAGUUUUCUCCAGCAUAUGAGCAAAGUGGGGAUACCUCCACACCAGUAGCAUAUAAGGGCACUGAAUGCGUUAAGAAGCCGCCUGCUGCAACUACCCAGCGAGUGUGGAGCCUAAGCACAAGCAGACGAGCACUGUCUGGAGUGUCAAAAUUUGACCCAUUGGCAUUUUUAACUGGUGCAAACUCUUCUUCACGUAAUACCUCAAAGAGAGCAGUUGAAGGAGUAUAUGGAAAUGCAUCAAAUAUGAAUUGCUCUAGUUUAAAUCCCAAUGUAAAUCCAUGAAUUGAAGGAAUUUUCUUCUCUGCGAGAUGGUAAAUGCUGUCUUUCUCGAGAGCAUUUGCCACUUGAUUUAGAAAAUCCAAAGUAAACAUGUGUAAACACACCUGAAAACCAAAAAGUGGCAAGAGUUCAAGACAAGUUUAAGAGAAUGUGAAAAACCACUGUUAAAGCAUUACAAUUGCUGAAGCACAAACCAUAAUAAAUGCUAAAGUUUGGAGCAGCUCCAAUGUCUAUGAUCUUUUAUAAUAAGAAAUGAAAUCAAGAAUAUUGGAAAUAUGGGGGAAAAAUCAUCCACUAGGCAGGCAGCACAUGCCUUGUUGCAUAGUCUACAAUUUUAUCCAUGCAUUUUCUCCCUCUCCUUCUAUCAAAUUUUUAAUUAAAAAUACAGUUCACCACUAUUCUAAAUUUCUAAUAAUGUGUCCCAGAAAGUCUAUGACAAACACACACACACACACACAUGCACACACGCACGCACGCACACACACGGUUGGAUGGGGGAUAUUUUAGCACUAUAUCUUCUUUUGUGAUCCUGAAUCAGAGAGAGAGAGGCAGAGGCCUAUUGGAAGUCUGUGGGCUUCUUUUGAAGUUGGGAUCAUUCUAUAGACUUUCACUGUGCACUUGCUAAGUGGAACCCAGUUAGAGUACUUCACCUCUUGGAUUGUUAGCUGUGAUAUUGCGUGACUGAUCUGUAUUAUGUCUUCACUUCUGUUGUUGAUAAUAUAGUACAAGUACCAUAUUACUGUGUUAGUUAUAUGCAGCUAAUAGGUUGAAAUUUCUUUUGAAGCUAGAACUUAUCUGCUUGGAACACCUGCAGAGUGCACAAAUGCUUUAUUUUAACUUGAUGCAGUUGUUUCUUUUAAUUUUUGAAAUGUUACUUGGCCAUAUGGUCUUCUGCCCUUUUAGACGUUGUAAUUGAGUAAACAGUAGAUUGAUGUCAUGAUGCCUGAAAUAUCACGUCUGCCUUUGUUUUAUGCACUUGCGUGAGUUGAGUAACCUUGUGAAUGUGUCUAGGAGACUUUUUAAAAUGGAAAACAAUUGCAACUUUGCAAGCUGAAGUGCUAAAUGUGUAAACAUAGUUUGCAACUGUGAAAAGUUUAUUUCCUUUAUGUCCUCUUGUUUUUAUCAAAUAUGAUAAGCUUAUGACAUCUGGAAGAAAAUGUGCUUUUAUUCCUUGUGUUCUCUUAGCUUCCUUGAAUAUCCUCUUCUUGGCAACUUCUUUCCACAAACACUCCUUUUCUGAUCUCCAAGUCUGUUGUUUGUUUAGAUUGAGAGAAUUGGUUGGCAGGAUGGCAGACUUUCUAGUCCACAUUUUGGCUUUAGUCUUCUCCUGACUAGGACCUUUACUCUUUUUUAGAUGUCCUUGAACUAACCCCAUUCCCAUUUAUCCCUAAAUUUCUUGAUCUGUGUUACGUGGGGUUGUUUGUGAAGAGUGAGAAGCAGGAUGUUUGCUUUGUGCGUAAACCCCAAAAAAGAUGUAGAGUUACUGACUUUUUUCUAUUUAGUUACUAUUAUUAUGAGGUUGUAAUGCAUGGAAGAUGUUUGACAUAUAAGAAGUUAUGGAUUUGAAAGAUUACAAGUUGAUGCCUUCUUUGCAUUUCGUUUAAACCUCGUCUAGUUAAUCUUAAUCACUACUGCAUAGUAUCUUACCAUUAUUCUGUGGUGGUUUUCAGAAUCUUGUAUGGGAAUUGAGGUCU
rnacentral:misc_RNA from 1 species